rnacentral:rRNA from 1 species
GUACCAGACUCCUACGGGAGGCAGCAGUGGGGAAUAUUGGGCAAUGGGGGAAACCCUGACCCAGCAACGCCGCGUGAAGGAAGAAGGCCUUCGGGUUGUAAACUUCUUUUACCAGGGACGAAGAACGUGACGGUACCUGGAGAAAAAGCCACGGCUAACUACGUGCCAGCAGCCGCGGUAAUACGUAGGUGGCAAGCGUUAUCCGGAUUUAUUGGGUUUAAAGGGUGCGCAGGCGGCACGGCAAGCCGGCGGUCAAAUCGCGGGGCUCAACCCCGCCCAGCCGUCGGAACUGCCGGGCUAGAGUGGGCGAGAAGUGCGCGGAAUGCGUGGUGUAGCGGUGAAAUGCAUAGAUAUCACGCAGAACUCCGAUUGCGAAGGCAGCGCACCGGCGCCCUACUGACGCUCAGGCACGAAAGCGUGGGUAUCGAACAGGAUUAGAUACCCCUGUAA